rnacentral:rRNA from 1 species
GACGAACGCUGGCGGCGUGCUUAACACAUGCAAGUCGAACGGAAAGGCCCUGCUUUUGUGGGGUGCUCGAGUGGCGAACGGGUGAGUAACACGUGAGUAACCUGCCCUUGACUUUGGGAUAACUUCAGGAAACUGGGGCUAAUACCGGAUAGGAGCUCCUGCUGCAUGGUGGGGGUUGGAAAGUUUCGGCGGUUGGGGAUGGACUCGCGGCUUAUCAGCUUGUUGGUGGGGUAGUGGCUUACCAAGGCUUUGACGGGUAGCCGGCCUGAGAGGGUGACCGGCCACAUUGGGACUGAGAUACGGCCCAGACUCCUACGGGAUGCAGCAGUGGGGAAUAUUGCACAAUGGGCGGAAGCCUGAUGCAGCAACGCCGCGUGCGGGAUGACGGCCUUCGGGUUGUAAACCGUUUUCGCCUGUGACGAAGCGUGAGGGACGGUAAUGUGUAAAGAAGCACCGGCUAACUACGUG